CAGGAUUAGAUACCCUGGUAGUCCACGCCGUAAACGAUGGGUACUAGGUGUCUGGGGGAGCGACCCCCUGGGUGCCGGCGCUAACGCAUGAAGUACCCCGCCUGGGGAGUACGGCCGCAAGGCUGAAACUCAAAGGAAUUGACGGGGGCCCGCACAAGCGGUGGAGCAUGUGGUUUAAUUCGACGCAACGCGAAGAACCUUACCUGGGCUUGACAUGCUGGAGAAAGCUUGCGGAAACGUGAGCCCCUCUUCGGAGUUCCAGCACAGAUGCUGCAUGGCUGUCGUCAGCUCGUGUCGUGAGAUGUUGGGUUAAGUCCCGCAACGAGCGCAACCCUCACUCUUAGUUACCAGCGGGUAAAGCCGGGGACUCUAGGGGGACUGCCGGUUGCCAAACCGGUAGGAAGGUGGGGAUGACGUCAAGUCAUCAUGGCUCUUACGUCCAGGGCUACACACGUGCUACAAUGGGUC
rnacentral:rRNA from 1 species